UACGGAGGAGGCAAGCGUUAUCCGGAAUUAUUGGGCGUAAAGCGUCCGUAGGUGGCACUUCAAGUCUGCGGUCAAAGACCGGGGCUUAACCCUGGAAAGGCCGUGGAAACUGAAGUGCUAGAGUGCAGUAGGGGUAGAGGGAAUUCCCGGUGUAGCGGUGAAAUGCGUAGAGAUCCGGAGGAACACCAGCGGCGAAGGCGGCAUCCUGGACUGGUCCUGACACUCAGGAGCGAAAGCGUGGGGAGCGAACGAGG
rnacentral:rRNA from 1 species